rnacentral:rRNA from 1 species
GAGGAAUAUUGCACAAUGGGCGCAAGCCUGAUGCAGCAACGCCGCGUGAGGGACGAAGGCCUUCGGGUCGUAAACCUCUUUUCUGGGGGACGAGUAAGGACGGUACCCCAGGAAUAAGUCUCGGCUAACUACGUGCCAGCAGCCGCGGUAAAACGUAGGAGGCGAGCGUUAUCCGGAUUUACUGGGCGUAAAGCGUACGCAGGUGGCUUCGUUAGUCGGACAUGAAAGCUCCUGGCUUAACUGGGAGAGGUUGUUCGAUACUGCGGGGCUUGAGGUUGGGAGAGGGACGUGGAAUUCCCGGUGUAGUGGUGGAAUGCGUAGAUAUCGGGAGGAACACCAGUGGCGCAAGCGGCGUCCUGGCCCACACCUGACGCUGUGGUACGAAAGCGUGGGUAGCAAACAG